UGACCUCGGAUCAGACGUGAUUACCCGCUGAAUUUCUUAAGCAUUAUUAUUAAGCGGGUAGGAAAGAAACUAACAAGGAUUCCCCUAGUAACGGCGAGUGAACGGCUGGGGAAGAGCCGAACACCCGAAUCCCUUGGCGCAGUCAACGGGAAAUGUGUGUUAAGGUAGCCCUUCGUGUCAGUCUAGGCGUCUCAAGUCCACCUGAUUGUGGCUCAAGCCCAGAGAGGCUGUGUAAGGCCGUAGAGAGACGUCUCCGACUGAUUCCUGGGGUGGUUUACCUACGAGUUCGGCUUGUUUGGGAAUGCAGGCCAAAGCGGUGGUAAAACUCCAUCAAGGCUAAAUACUGGCACGAGUCCGAUAGCGGACAAGUACGGCCGUGAGGGGAAGUUGAAAAGAACUUUGAAGAGAGAGUUCAAUAGUACGUGAAACCGCUUAGAGGCAAACGGAUGGAUGCUCAUACUGGCCUGAGGAAUUCAACUGUGACGGUGGCUGGACGAGCUGGGCGUUCCGAUCUCUCUUUUGGGACGGGGCGGUGCGGUUUGGCUAUCAGCUCCAUGACAUGGUGCCACUUUCCUUGGUGCCUCCGCCACGACCGACGACACUGGCUACCCGCGGCUGGGGUAAGGUGACAAACUGCUUCGGCAAUUUUGUGUUAUAGACCCGGCGGUCGGACAUGGUUUGGCCAGGACGUCGAGACUUGCUUGCGGCGCCGCUCCUUGUGGGCUCUCGCAUGUUGGCUAGCUUGGCUGCGCCGAUGCUUGCACAUGGACAACCAGUACAGGUGACGGUUGGUGGUCUUGUCUCUAGUUGGCCUCUGCGAGUUUUUGGCGCCUAUAGUCUGUUGGUGUUAGCUUGUGGCGUAGACUAUCCGACCCGUCUUGGAAACAGUCGGACAAGGAGUUCUAACAUGUGCGCGAGUUCAUGGUGGGGAUUCUACGAAACCCAAAGGCGCAGUGUGAAAGUAAAGGCCUGCUUCUCGUAGGCUGUGAGGUGGGAUCUCGUGCAUCGCGAUUGGCGAGCGCGCACCACCGGCCCGUCCUAUCUGUCUCUGUCAGUGGGGCUGGCGCAAGAGCGUACACGUUGGGACCCGAAAGAUGGUUGUAACUAUGCUUGCGCAGCUCGAAGUCAGUGGAAACACUGAUGGAGAGCGCAGCGGUUUUGACGUGCAAAUCGAUCGUGCAAAUCGUGAGUUAUACGUGAGUUGGAUAGGGCGCGAAAGGGGACUAAUAACGAAACCAUCUAGUAGCUGGUUCCCUCCGAAGUUUCCCUCAGGAUAGGCUGCGCACUCGGGAAACAGUUUUAUCCGGUAAAGCCGAUAAUGAUUAGAGGCAUUGGCGAGUCGAAACGACCUCGACCUAUUCUCAAACUUUUAAAAUGGGUAAAGAUGCUCGUCUCGCUUAAUUGGAGGGCGGGCUUCACCUCUCUAUUAAACGGCUGAAUGUGAGUGCCAGUGCGGCCAUUUUUGGGUAAGCAGAACUGGCGCUGUGGGUAUGAACCAAACGCGCGGUUUUAAGGCGCCGCCAAUUGCGGACGCAAUCAUGAGACACCACAAAAGGUGUUGGUCGAUUACUGACAGCAGGACGGUGGGCCAUGCGAAGUCGGAACCGCUAAGGAGUGGUGUAACAACUCACCUGCCGAAUCAACCAGCCCUGAAAAUGGAUGGCGCUGGAGCGUCGGGCCUAUACCGUUGCCGUUGGGGCGAAGCAGACAAAUUAAUCUGUGUGGAUGUCCCAACGAGUAGGAGGGUCGCCGUGUCGGUGAGCGCAGAAGGUGCGGGGCCGUGAGGAGGCCGGCUGGAGCCGCCACGGGCGCAGAUCUUGGUGGUAGCUUAGCAAUUACUCAAGUGAGAACCUUAGAGGACUGAAGUGGAGAAGGGUUCCAUGUGAACAGGCAGGUUGAACAUGGGUCAGGCGGUCCUAAAGCGAUCGCGGUAACUCCGUACCUAGACGACGGGUGACAACUAUCACUUGACUAAUACUGUUGAAGUGUUAUAGCCCUCCGGAUGCGAAGGGAAUCGUGUUUAAUAUUCACGACCCUUACCGUGGAGAUCGCCCCUUUCGGGGGGGCAAGUGCUGCGGUAACGCAAACGAACACAGAGACGUCGGCUGGAGCCCCGGGGAAGAGUUCUCUUUUCUUUGCUAAUCUUAUGCUAGAGCGUACCCCCGGAAUUCGGGCUUGUCCGGAGACUUGUAGGAGAUGUAGGCGUGGUGGCUUCCCGUUAAAGCAGCGCGGGUGUCUUGCGCUGUCCGGUGCACUCUAGUCGGCCCUGAAAAUCUGUGGGAGACAGUGUGAUUUUCACGGUAGGCCGUACCCAUAUCCGCAGCAGGUCUCCAAGGUGAACAGCCUCUAGUCCAUAGAACAUGUAAGGUAAGGAGAAUCCGGCAAAAUGAUCCGUAACUUCGGGAAAGGAUGGCUCUUGAGGGUGGUCGGGAUGGGCUGGCGUAAGAAGCUUGUCUUCCGGUUUGGUGAGAGCUGGGCGAGGCUUUCGGGCUUUACUCGGACGCAUGCGAGACCAAGCAGUAGGACGACGUCAGCUGUGCUUGUUCGUUGUUUCGGCGCGCAGCUUGUCCGGCAAACAAAACAGCCAACUCAGAACUGGCACGACUAGGAUAUCCGACUGUCUAAAUUUAAAACAAAAGCAUUGCGAUGGCUGUGCUCGGUGUUGACGCAAUGUUGAUUUCUG
rnacentral:ncRNA from 1 species